rnacentral:lncRNA from 1 species
CCAACAAGCAUGUUAUGCCCGUCAAGCAUUGCCGAAACACCGAAUGAAACAGCUGCCCCCACCGCUGGGUGCGAAGAGUUUAAGGAUUACCGAAAGAAACGUGCAUCGUCGACCGAAUCCAAGCCCCAACCAAGAAGGGUUUUAUAAGCUUCCGUCCCAUAUAGCUCCAGCAACACAACUUAAUGACAUGCCUUUGCAAUGGAACAUCCACAUCAUUUCACCCCCCCAAGCCUAGAGAUCGUCUCCAGCCUCAGCAUAAAGAUAGCCCACAUGCCACCAGUGCUUCGUCAAAA